rnacentral:lncRNA from 1 species
CGCAUAGCUCUUGGAAGCUUUAUUGAGGAAUUCACCAACCGAGUCGAUGUCGUAUCCUUCGACGACCAAACCCUAACUCUCAAAUCCAUUCCUAACCUCUCCUUCGAGCACCCUUACCCUCCCACUAAACUAAUGUUCCACCCCAACCCUGCUGCCUCCGGUAAGUCCUCCGACAUCCUUGCUUCCUCCGACGACUAUCUCCGUCUCUGGGAUGUCCGCGACACCUCAAUCGAGCCCAUCUCUCUCCUCAACAACAGUAAAACCAGUGAAUUUUGCGCAGUCAGCUGCCACGUAGGAAAUAACUUAUUUUAUUUUAUUUUUCAAAAGCCACGUAGGAAAAUUGGCCCAAUUUUUUAAGGUCUGUUAGUCAAAUUGAACGGAAUGAAUUGAUUGAACAUUUUUAAAAAGUACAAUGGGCUAAUUAAAUAUUUUAAAAGCACAGUGACUAAUUGCUUAAAACAUUACAACUACAGUAGUGAAAAAGUGUUUUUUACCUAUAGAAAAUAAUACACAAUUCAAUUAUCUGCACAGAGAGCAUGAUACAACAAAAAUUUGAAACCAAAAUAAUAGGAAACUUACAAGAUUUAAAGGGUUAAGACUUCAUCAAUUGAAGACCAUAACUAUAGGUGAUCGUGUGAGAGAGAUCUAGAGAAUCGAAGUGAAAUCCUCUAUUUAGCACUGCUUCGAAGGAAUCUUACCACGAAAAAAUUGAGAGAAGCCCUAACUACAGGAAGAACCAACCAAAAAUAAAAGAAUAUAAUCUAUAAAGAACUUAUCGUUGAAAAAUCCAUCAAUUUUGCAUCCAAGGAUUCUCAGAAAUGGUGGUAUCUUUGUAUCUAGGCUUCUCCAAAAUGGUGCAAAUUCCUCCUAGGCUCUUUAGUUCUACCGAGAGAGGAGAAAGAAUGUUAUUUAAAAGUAAU